rnacentral:rRNA from 1 species
UACGUAGGGGGCAAGCGUUGUCCGGAUUUAUUGGGCGUAAAGAGCGUGUAGGCGGCUUUACAGGUCCGUUGUGAAAACUCGAGGCUCAACCUCGAGACGCCGGUGGAAACCGUAAAGCUAGAGUCCGGAAGAGGAGAGUGGAAUUCCUGGUGUAGCGGUGAAAUGCGCAGAUAUCGGGAAGAACACCUAUGGCGAAGGCAGCUCUCUGGGACGGUACUGACGCUGAGACGCGAAAGCGUGGGGAGCGAACAGG